rnacentral:rRNA from 1 species
AACAGGAUUAGAUACCCUGGUAGUCCACGCCGUAAACGAUGUCGACUUGGAGGUUGUGCCCUUGAGGCGUGGCUUCCGGAGCUAACGCGUUAAGUCGACCGCCUGGGGAGUACGGCCGCAAGGUUAAAACUCAAAUGAAUUGACGGGGGCCCGCACAAGCGGUGGAGCAUGUGGUUUAAUUCGAUGCAACGCGAAGAACCUUACCUGGUCUUGACAUCCACGGAAGUUUUCAGAGAUGAGAAUGUGCCUUCGGGAACCGUGAGACAGGUGCUGCAUGGCUGUCGUCAGCUCGUGUUGUGAAAUGUUGGGUUAAGUCCCGCAACGAGCGCAACCCUUAUCCUUUGUUGCCAGCGGUCCGGCCGGGAACUCAAAGGAGACUGCCAGUGAUAAACUGGAGGAAGGUGGGGAUGACGUCAAGUCAUCAUGGCCCUUACGACCAGGGCUACACACGUGCUACAAUGGCGCAUACAAAGAGAAGCGACCUCGCGAGAGCAAGCGGACCUCAUAAAGUGCGUCGUAGUCCGGAUUGGAGUCUGCAACUCGACUCCAUGAAGUCGGAAUCGCUAGUAAUCGUGGAUCAGAAUGCCACGGUGAAUACGUUCCCGGGCCUUGUACACACCGCCCGUCACACCAUGGGAGUGGGUUGCAAAAGAAGUAGGUAGCUUAACCUUCGGGAGGGCGCUUACCACUGUGUGAUUCAUGACUGGGGUGAAGUCGUAACAAGGUAACC